AUGUACGGGAGAUCUGCAGAGAAAAAUUUUAUCAUCAAGUUGAUAAGCGAACACAAAUCAGCUGGUGGUGUCACUGUUCUGCCUAUUGUAGGCAUCGGAGGAAUUGGGAAGACAGCUCUGGCUCAACUUGUAUACAAUGAUCCAGCAGUGGAAAAUCAAUUUGACCACAAGAUAUGGAUUUGGGUGUCUAACAACUUUGAUGAAGUGAGGCUCACAAGGGAGAUGUUAGAUUUUGUGUCACAGGAAACACAUGGAGGGCUUUGCAACCUUGCCAAGCUUCAGGAGAUCUUGAAGGGUAAUAUCAAGUCAAAGAGGAUUCUACUUAUUUUAGAUGAUGUUUGGGAUGACAAAAAUGACUGCCAAUGGAACCAGCUGUUGGCUCCUUUUAAGUCUGACAAUGCAAACAACAAUUUGAUACUAAUGACAACUAGAAAACCAUCUGUUGCAAAAAGGAGAGGAACGGCUGAACCAAUUAAGUUAGGUGCGUUGGAAAAAGAUGAUUUCUGGUUAUUGUUUAAAGCACAUGCAUUUGGUGAUGAGAACUACGAAGAGCAAGAAAGUCUAAGUGGCAUAGGACAAAAAAUAGCACACAAGUUAAAAGGAAACCCAUUAGCGGCACAAACUGCAGGAGCACUAUUAAUAGAGCAUCUCACCGUUGAACAUUGGACUAACGGUCUGAAGAAUGAAGAUUGGAAAUCGCUGCACCUCAGUAGUGGAAUUAUGUCAUCUUUGAAGUUUUGCUAUGACGAGCUGCCCUUCCAUUUACAGCAGUGCUUCUCAUAUUGUUCUAUAUUCCCAUACGGUUAUCAGUUUCCCGUGGAGGAGUUAGUCUAUAUGUGGAUUUCACACGGAUUUGUGAAGCUAGACGAUUCAAGUGCGAGUUUAAAGGAUACGGGAUGGUACUAUCUAACUGACUUGGUGAACCUGGGCUUCUUUGAGCAAGUCAUCUCUUCGGUCAGACAAACUUCCUAUUCCAUUAGUGGUCUCAUGCAUGAGUUUGCAAGGGUUGUUUCAAGAACGGAGUGUGCAACAAUAGAUGGUAUAUAUUGCAAUGAAAUAUUGCCAACUGUACACCAUUUGUCAAUACUAACUGAUUCAAUAUAUUCCAUGGAUGAUCAGAUGAGCAACAUACCUUGUAGCAAGAAGUUUGAAGAAAAAUUGAGAAGUUCAUUUACAUCAGUGAAAAAAUUGAGGUCAUUGGUGUUAAUUGGGCAGUAUGACUCUUUCUUCUUCAAAGCCUUCCAAGAAGUAUUCCAAAAGGAACAUCAUUUGCGAGUGCUGCAUUUGUCUGCAACAUCUGCUGAUUUUCAUUCCUUCUUGUGUAGUAGGGUAAAUCAUAGACAUCUCCAGUAUCUGAAACUUCAGGACAGUCAUGUUGAGUUGGGUUCCUCGCCUCAAGUUUCGAGUAAGUUUUUCAAUCGAGUGUUAGAUGGUUGGCUUACCUCUUUACAAACAAUUCAUCUAGAGAACUGUGGAGAAUGCUGGAUAGUUCCAUCACUGAAAAGGCUUCCGUCUCUUACAAGGUUAUUUUUGAGAAACAUGCGGAAAGUAAGAGAAGUAUCGUUUCCGUCAUUGGAGGAGCUAGUUUUAGUUGAAAUGUCAGAGUUGGAGAGUUGUGUGUGCACUUCUCUGGGAGAUAUGAACUCUAGUUUAAGGGUAUUGGAUAUCCGAAAUUGCCACAAACUCAAGAUGUUUGCUUUGCUUGAGAAACAUCAUAGCUUCAAAAUGAAGAAGGGUUCAUGGUUGCCCAAUCUUAGGAAGUUCAUUGUUUACGAUUGUCCUCACUUGGAAGUAGUGAUCCCUCUUCGGCCUUCAGCCACAUUUUCUGAACUUUUAAUCAGCAGAGUUUCAACAUCUCUGACAAUGGACAAGUUUUACAUGGAAACAUUCGAAAUUAGGCCAAAUAGUCUUUUGGGUGAGUCUUUUGGUGAGAUGAGAUUGGAUGAAAAAAUCUUGGCAUUCCAUAAUCUGAGGGACCUCAAAUGUUUGGAAAUAAGUUUCUGCAGGAAUCUGACGUCUAUUCCACUAAUAAGUUUUCAUCAGCUCGUAUCUUUAGAGAGUUUGACAAUAGUGGGUUGCACAAAACUCUUCUCUUCGGAUGUUGUGUCAGCGCACACCCAUGAAGAUAUGAUAGCUGCAGAUUAUAUAGCCCUCCCAUGUCUUGAAAGUCUUAGUAUUUUUUCAUGUGGAAUAACGGGGAAGUGGUUAUCUCUGAUGCUUCGACAUGCGCCGGCGGUGAAGAAAUUGAUGUUAAAGGACUGUUCAAAGUUGACACAGUUAUGGAUUGAAGGGGAAGAAAACGGUCAGCUGAAUCUCAACCCAGCCUCGGAGGCUUCAUCAUCAGGAUAUCAAAAUGGUUUGUCGGCAAACUCAGCUCCAGACGGUUUGUGGUGCAUUCCAUUUAAUCUCAUCACUUCUCUCAAAGAGAUAACUAUUUCUAGAUGCCCUCAUCUAAUAUUUGACAUCACCAGACUUGCCUCCCUCGAGAAACUAAGUAUAAUCGAGGGUUGCCCCAAGAUGCUCUCGUCUUUGGUGCACGGAAGACUGCUCCUACCGCAAUCACUUGAACAAAUUUUAAUAUAUGAGUAUCCUCAAGAAACCAUUCAGCUGUGCUUUCUGAAUAACCGCACGUGCCUCAAAAAGAUACAAUUAUUUUAUAGCUCAGCUUUGAAUUCUCUAAUGCUGCACUCCUGUACAUCGUUGGAAGACUUGACAAUUAGAGAAUGCAAAUCACUCACUGCAUUACAUGACAUGGAAUCGCUCAGGACUCUCAGGGCUUUGGCACUAUAUCCAAGGAUAAAGAUCGGAUGGUGUCCACGCAUCUCAGAGCUACCCAAGGAGGGCCUCCCACCUUCGCUGGAGAAACUUGUUAUAGUAUGUUGUGAUGAUCUGGAAGAUCUUCCUGCGGGGCUGCACAGCCUUCCUUCCCUCAAGAAACUGAAGAUCGACUGUUGUAAGGGACUCUCACGGCUGCCCAAGGAGGGCCUCCCACCCUCGCUGGAACAGCUGGUGAUCGAAGACUGCAGCAGCAAGCUCUCAAAACAAUGCAGAUUGCUAGCAACAAGCAAGCUAAAGGUCAAGAUUGAUGAGCCCUUUUUGGGAUGA
rnacentral:rRNA from 1 species